rnacentral:rRNA from 1 species
GUAGGGUGCGAGCGUUAAUCGGAAUUACUGGGCGUAAAGCGUGCGCAGGCGGUUUUGUAAGACAGAUGUGAAAUCCCCGGGCUCAACCUGGGACCUGCAUUUGUGACUGCAAGGCUAGAGUACGGUAGAGGGGGAUGGAAUUCCGCGUGUAGCAGUGAAAUGCGUAGAUAUGCGGAGGAACACCGAUGGCGAAGGCAAUCCCCUGGACCUGUACUGACGCUCAUGCACGAAAGCGUGGGGAGCAAACAGGAUUAGAUACCCUGGUAGUCCACGCCCUAAACGAUGUCAACUGGUUGUUGGGUCUUUACUGACUCAGUAACGAAGCUAACGCGUGAAGUUGACCGCCUGGGGAUACGGCCGCAAGGUUG